rnacentral:tRNA from 1 species
UGGGGUACCGCCAAGCGGUAAGGCCUCGGUUUUUGGUACCGAUAUUCACAGGUUCGAAUCCUGUUACCCCAUCCA